CAUUAUGGAUUGUGACACGGUUGCCUUCUGUGCUGGCCCUGGCAAGUGCACGCUGGUGACUUUCAUCCAACACUCUUGUGAACCUCUGACCUCUUGCCGGCUUUGGCUGGUGGAGGAUUUUUACACACAUACUUGAAUGUAACGAAAGGCCCUUGUUGUGCACAUGCACUAUAUACUAUACAACUUUCAACAACGGAUCUCUUGGCUCUCGCAUCGAUGAAGAACGCAGCGAAAUGCGAUAAGUAAUGUGAAUUGCAGAAUUCAGUGAAUCAUCGAAUCUUUGAACGCACCUUGCACCCUUUGGCACUCCAAAGGGUAUGCUCGUUUGAGUGUCAUUGUAUUCUCACACUUCCAAUUGCAAUUGGAUUCCGGCUGGAAUCCGAUUCGGGCUUGGCUUCGGAAUCCGAUUCGGGUUCUGGCUCGGAGUCCGAUUCGGGGUUCGGCUCGAGUUCGGAUUGGGAGUGGUGGACUUGGGUGUUGCUGCUUCACUGUGGCUCAUCUGAAAUGGGUUAGUGCAACUCUUGGUUGGACAUAGUACAGCGUGAUAAGUGUCUUCGCUGGCUCCUCGGAAGAGGGUGGCUGAUCUGGAGCUCUGUGCUUCCAACUGUCCUUGGACAAUCUCUGACCACUUGACCUCAAAUCGAGUAGGACUACCCGCUGAACUUAAGCAUAUCAAUAAGCGGAGGAAAAGAAACUAACAAGGAUUCCCUUAGUAACGGCGAGUGAAGAGGGAAGAGCUCAAAUUUUAAAUCUGGCGUCUUUGGCGUCCGAGUUGUAAUCUAGAGAAGUGUUUUCCGUGGUGGACCAUGCAC
rnacentral:rRNA from 1 species